ACUCUUAUGGUCUAGGGAUAAAGACAUUAAGUUUUCAACUUAAAAACAAGAGUUUGAGUCUCUUUAAGAGUA
rnacentral:tRNA from 1 species